UACGUAGGGGGCAAGCGUUGUCCGGAUUUAUUGGGCGUAAAGAGCGUGUAGGCGGCCAGGUAGGUCUGGUGUGAAAACUCGAGGCUCAACCUCGAGAGGUCAUCGGAAACCAUCUGGCUAGAGUCCGGAAGAGGAGAGUGGAAUUCCCGGUGUAGCGGUGAAAUGCGCAGAUAUCGGGAAGAACACCUAUGGCGAAGGCAGCUCUCUGGGACGGUACUGACGCUGAGACGCGAAAGCGUGGGGAGCGAACGGG
rnacentral:rRNA from 1 species